rnacentral:rRNA from 1 species
GAUGAACGCUGGCGGCGUGCCUAAUACAUGCAAGUCGAGCGAACGGACGAGAAGCUUGCUUCUCUGAUGUUAGCGGCGGACGGGUGAGUAACACGUGAUAACCUACCUAUAAGACUGGGAUAACUUCGGGAAACCGUAGCUAAUACCGGAUAAUAUUUUGAACCGCAUGGUUCAAAAGUGAAAGACGGUCUUGCUGUCACCUAUAGAUGGAUCCGCGCUGCAUUAGCUAGUUGGUAAGGUAACGGCUUACCAAGGCAACGAUGCAUAGCCGACCUGAGAGGGUGAUCGGCCACACUGGAACUGAGACACGGUCCAGACUCCUACGGGAGGCAGCAGUAGGGAAUCUUCCGCAAUGGGCGAAAGCCUGACGGAGCAACGCCGCGUGAGUGAUGAAGGUCUUCGGAUCGUAAAACUCUGUUAUUAGGGAAGAACAUAUGUGUAAGUAACUGUGCACAUCUUGGCGGUACCUAAUCAGAAAGCCACGGCUAACUACGUG